AUUGAACGCUGGCGGCAUGCCUUACACAUGCAAGUCGAACGGCAGCACGGGAGCAAUCCUGGUGGCGAGUGGCGAACGGGUGAGUAAUAUAUCGGAAAGUGCCUAGUCGUGGGGGACAACGCAGCGACAGCUGUGCUAAUACCGCAUACGAUCUAAGGAUGAAAGCGGGGGAUAGUAAGACCUAGCCCGAUUGGAGGGGCCGAUAUCAGAUUAUCUAGUUGGUGGGGUAAAGGCCCACCAAGGCGACGAUCUGUAGCCGGUCUGAGAGGACGACCAGCCACACUGGAACUGAGACACGUUCCAGACUCCUACGGGAGGCAGCAGUGGGGAAUUUUGGACAAUGGGCGCAAGCCUGAUCCAGCAAUGCCGCGUGCAGGAUGAAGGCCUUCGGGUUGUAAACUGCUUUUAUACGGAACGAAACGGCCCUUUCUAAUACAGGGGGCUAAUGACGGUACCGUAAGAAUAAGCACCGGCUAACUACGUGCCAGCCGCCGCCGUAA
rnacentral:rRNA from 1 species